GAUCCUGGCUCAGAUUGAACGCUGGCGGCAUGCUUUACACAUGCAAGUCGAACGGCAGCAUAGAGAGCUUGCUCUCUGAUGGCGAGUGGCGAACGGGUGAGUAAUACAUCGGAACGUGUCCUGUUGUGGGGGAUAACUACUCGAAAGAGUAGCUAAUACCGCAUAAGACCUAAGGGUGAAAGCGGGGGACCUUCGGGCCUCGCGCAGUUGGAGCGGCCGAUGACUGAUUAG
rnacentral:rRNA from 1 species